UGCCCCNUCGAGAGGGUUCGGCCCUCGGCUGACGGCUCAGUAACACGUGGAUAAUCUGCCCUUAGGAGGAGGAUAACCUCGGGAAACUGAGAACAAUACUCCAUAGAUCUAGGAUGCUGGAAUGCACUUAGAUUGAAAGCUCCGGCGCCUAAGGAUGAGUCUGCGGACUAUCAGGUUGUAGUCAGGGUAAAGACCUGACUAGCCUACGACGGAUACGGGUUGUGAGAGCAAUAACCCGGAGACGAUAUCUGAGACACGAUAUCGGGCCCUACGGGGCGCAGCAGGCGCGAAAACUUCACACUGUGCGAAAGCGCGAUGAGGGAAUCCCAAGUGCUUGCUCGUAAGAGUAAGCUGUUUCUUUGUUUAAAAUGCAGAGAGAGUAAGGGCUGGGUAAGACGGGUGCCAGCCGCCGCGGUAAUACCUGCAGCUCAAGUGGUGAUCGCUAUUAUUGGGCCUAAAACGUCCGUAGCCGGUUUAGUAAAUGCCUGGGUAAAUCGUGUAGCUUAACUAUACGAAUNCCGGGUAGACUGCUAAGCU
rnacentral:rRNA from 1 species